AUCAUUAACGAGUUAGGGUCUUCUAGGCCCGACCUCCCAACCCUUUGAUUACUAGACCUCUGUUGCUUCGGCGGACCCGUCCCAUAAAGACCGCCGGAGGACCGCCCAACCAGGCGGUCCUUUGGCCAGUGUUCGCCGACAGCCUCAUCAUCCCAAUUCUGGAAUAAUCGUGACAAUACUGUCUAAGUGAAUUUAUUCAAUUCAAAAGCAAAAACUUUCAACAACGGAUCUCUUGGUUCUGGCAUCGAUGAAGAACGCAGCGAAAUGCGAUAAGUAAUGCGAAUUGCAGAAUUCCAGUGAGUCAUCGAAUCUUUGAACGCACAUUGCGCCCUUUGGUAUUCCGAAGGGCGUGCCUGUUCGAGCGUCAUUAUCACCCCCCCUCAAGCCUCGUGCUUGGUGUUGGACGACUUGGCAGAAGGGGUACACCCUUCCGCCCGUCCUAAAGACAAUGACGGCAGCCUCGUGGAGCCCCCGGUACACUGAGCUUCUUGACUGAGCACGUAUCGGAUCAAGGGCGCCCCGGGCACGGUCCUCUCCCCCCUUACGGGGAAAUUCUCUCAAGGUUGACC
rnacentral:rRNA from 1 species